rnacentral:lncRNA from 1 species
AUUUUAUCUUUAUACAUUUGUUGCAUGUGGCUAGUGCAAAUAAAGUACAAAUCUCUCUAUCCAUAACACACACAAAACACAGAUGUUGAUUUCUGGAUAAACUUAUGUAAAUCACUACACAUGUGUCUGAAUUUAUUCAUGCAAAAAUUUUGAAAAAGCAGUUUUAGAUUCUCCUUUAUAGGGAGCUUUAAAGUGAUUUAAAAUAUACACCUGUACGUAUUAAUAUGAUUUGAUGUUCAUACGAUAUUUUCUAAGUAACUUGUCUUUGUUUUUUUUCCUGAGACAGGAUCUCACUCUGUCACCCAGGCUGGAGUACAGUGGUGCGAUCUCAACUUACUGCAACCUCCGCCUCCCGGUUCAAGCGAUUCGCCUGCCUCUGCCUUGAGCUAUGUCCCUUUCAGAAAAAUUCUACUUCAAGAGAAGAUUUGGUUUCAGGA